CUGCGCGGAGGCGACUGCAGACGUAUCGGGGGUCCGGAGCCUGUCGCGGCUGCUAAGCGCUCGGCGCCUGGCGCUGGCGCUGGCCAAGGCUGUGAGUCCCUGCCGCGGACCGGGGCAGGGCAGGCGGGGGACGAGGCGGCGGUAGGAGCGGGACGGUCCCCAGCGGGUCCGAGCGGAGCGGGCGCCGGGUCCCCGCGCCCCCUGCCCGGGGAUCGGGAAGGGGCUGGGAGAGCCCUGGGCCGGUGCGAGGGGGAGCCGCGGAGUGUACUCGGGGGCCUGGGGAGCUCGGUCCUUAGCAGUGGCCAACAGUGUUGCAAACAGGAACCCGAGGUGUUCACUUCACUGUUGAAGGAACGAGAGGGCAUCUGCUAAAGUUUCAGAUUCCAUUUCUGCUCAGUAUCCAGUAGUGGAUCAUGAAUUUGAUGCAGUGGUGGUAGGCGCUGGAGGGGCAGGCUUUGCGAGCUGCAUUUGGCCUUUCCGAGGCAGAGUUUGAUACAGCAUGUGUUACCAAGCUGUUUCCUACCAGGUCACACACUGUUGCAGCGCAGCUAGAAAAUUAUGGCAUGCCGUUUAGCAGAACUGAAGAUGGGAAGAUUUAUCAGCGUGCAUUUGGUGGACAGAGCCUCAAGUUUGGAAAGGGCAGGCAGGCCCAUCGGUGCUGCUGUGUGGCUGAUCGGACCGGCCACUCAAUAUUGCACACCUCAUAUGGGAGGUCUCUGAGAUAUGAUACCAGCUGUUUUGUGGAGUAUUUUGCCUUGGAUCUCCUGAUAGAGAACAGGGAGUGCCGUGGUGUCAUUGCACUGUGCAUAGAGGACGGGUCCAUCCAUCACAUAAGAGCAAAGAACACUGUUGUUGCCACAGGG
rnacentral:lncRNA from 10 species